GAUUAACGCUGGCGGCAUGCCUAAUGCAUGCAAGUCGAACGAACCCUUCGGGGUUAGUGGCACACGGGUGCGUAACGCGUGGGAAUCUGCCCUUGGCUUCGGAAUACAAGUAAGAAUUGCUUGCAAAUACCGGAUAAUGCUUCCGGACAAAAAAUUUAUGGGCAAGGGAUGAGUCUGCGUAAGAUUAGCUAGUUGGUGAGGUAACGGCUCACCAAGGCGACGAUCUUUAACUGGUCUGAGAGGAUGAUCAGUCACACUGGAACUGUAGACACGGUCCAGACUCCUACGGGAGGCAGCAGUAGGGAAUAUUGGACAAUGGGGGCAACCCUGAUCCAGCGACGCCGCGUGAGUGACGAAGGCCUUCGGGUCGUAAAGCUCUGUUGCAAGGGAAAAACAAAAUGAUGGUACCUUGCUAGAAAGGGUCGGCUAACUUCGUGCCAGCAGCCGCCGUAA
rnacentral:rRNA from 1 species